rnacentral:rRNA from 1 species
GGAGGGUGCAAGCGUUAUCCGGAUUCACUGGGUUUAAAGGGUGCGUAGGCGGAAUGGAAAGUCCGUUGUGAAAUCUCCGAGCUUAACUCGGAAAUUGCGGUGGAUACUAUCAUUCUUGAAUACUGUUGAGGUUAGCGGAAUAUGUCAUGUAGCGGUGAAAUGCAUAGAUAUGACAUAGAACACCAAUUGCGAAGGCAGCUGGCUAAACAGAUAUUGACGCUGAGGCACGAAAGCGUGGGGAUCAAACAGGAUUAGAUACCCUGGUAGUCCACGCCCUAAACGAUGAUUACUCGACAUUUGCGAUACACAGCAAGUGUCUGAGCGAAAGCAUUAAGUAAUCCACCUGGGAAGUACGACCGCAAGGUUGAA